CCACCACUAGUCCGCAUUGCAAGAUCUCUGAGGAUUACAGUUCUGUUAUCUAAGGUGUCUGCUACUCCUGUGAGCAGCAAGUAGGCAUCAUCAAAGGCUGUGACCUGGUGUCAUCAGCCACCAGCUAUGAAACCCGAAGAACAUCCUUGGGAGAGAGAGGACACCUGCCCCUUUUCGCCACUAUGAAGAGAGUGAUUGUGUGGACUGACAGAGCCUGCAAUGGCAGUAAACAAGAGCUUUGAAAGGGGAAGGAAGCCAGGAGAAAGCCAGCUCCAUUAGUCACGCAGCUGCAUAUCCUGUCACAAAGGACCCCAGUUGAGUAAUCGCCCAAAAAUAUGCCUGUUAUUUUUUUUCUGUCAGAAAAAAAUGGGGCCUGCCAAAAUGUACUGUAAAAAAAAAAAAAGAAAAAAUCUGGUCAUUCAGCCCCAGAAGGGGGAAAGAAAAUAAAGAAGAAACAGGCGCGGCUUGGAAGUGUUCUUCCAACUUUUCCCCGCUUGUCUUUGCAAGAAAAAGCUCUCAAACUGCUCAUGGGACCGAGCUUGCAGUGGUGGAGGACAGCUGGCUCCUUGGAGACCCUGCUCCCAGAGUCCUUGCUGUCAUGGGGUGCCCAGAUGUUAAGAAGGCAAUGACAAUGGAAGAAGGCAGCAGGAAGCAAGGGAGAGAGCGAAGAAAGGGAGUCCAGAGAGCAAAUAAGUCUUCUGAAGAUCCUUAUAUGAGGACUUCAGGGCUCCACCGUGAACCUGUGGCAGUCCACACCUGUUCCAAGAGCCCUGAUGAACCCUGGAGGGGCACUGACUUCCGUCCAUCAACCACACCUGCCUCACUGUCCACGGGCAGCUUUUCUAAUGGGCUCAGCAAAACCAACUUUGACUCGGGUCUAAGCCAUCUUUGUGAUGUUUGGGCUACAGAUGGAACGAGAGCAGGCAUAUAAGGAUAUCUGACUUGGGGACAGGCUGAAGAAUUGAGGCUCAAAAUCCAGCAAGGAUACAUGCAUCUCAGCUACUGAGGCAGGAGGAUUAUUUGAGCUUAUGAAUUCAAGGUUCAAAAGGGCUAGGUGUUCUGCAAGGUGGUUCAGUGAGUAAAGGCUUAGCACUAAAACUGAGGACCUGAGUUCCAUCGCCGGGAUCCACAUGGUGUAAGGAAACAACCAACUGCCAUGGCAACCUAAAACAUCUUAAAAAGUCAUGUGAUUUUUAAAUUUUUAAGAGAGAAGAAAAGACCAAGUGGUGGUGGCACACGACUUUAGUCCCAGCACUGAGCAGGCAGAAGCAGGAGGAUCUCUGUGAGUUCGAGACCAGCCUGGUCUACAGAGGAGCAGCCGAGGAGACCUUUGCAGGAACUAGCAUCCAGCUAUGCAGCUACUCCCUCCUCAGCCCAAAGACCAAGCUCGGGUCCCCUGCAGAUUGCUGUAGAAAAAAGCUCAGUUAUAUCAGAACCAGGACUUUCUUCAGCCCUUCCAUUUUUCUGAUCCUGUCUGAGGUAUCCACUCUGACCAAAGCCUG
rnacentral:lncRNA from 1 species